GUCCCUACGGGGGGCAGCAGUGGGGAAUAUUGCACAAUGGGGGAAACCCUGAUGCAGCGACGCCGCGUGAAAGAUGAAGUAUUUCGGUAUGUAAACUUCUAUCAGCAGGGAAGAAAAUGACGGUACCUGACUAAGAAGCCCCGGCUAACUACGUGCCAGCAGCCGCGGUAAUACGUAGGGGGCAAGCGUUAUCCGGAUUUACUGGGUGUAAAGGGAGCGUAGACGGUAUGGCAAGUCUGAUGUGAAAACCCGGGGCUCAACCUCGGGACUGCAUUGGAAACGGUCGGCCUAGAGUGUCGGAGAGG
rnacentral:rRNA from 1 species